UAGGGAAUCUUCCGCAAUGGGCGAAAGCCUGACGGAGCAACGCCGCGUGAGUGAUGAAGGUCUUCGGAUCGUAAAACUCUGUUAUUAGGGAAGAACAAAUGUGUAAGUAACUAUGCACGUCUUGACGGUACCUAAUCAGAAAGCCACGGCUAACUACGUGCCAGCAGCCGCGGUAAUACGUAGGUGGCAAGCGUUAUCCGGAAUUAUUGGGCGUAAAGCGCGCGUAGGCGGUUUUUUAAGUCUGAUAUGAAAGCCCACGGCUCAACCGUGGAGGGUCAUUGGAAACUGGAAAACUUGAGUGCAGAAGAGGAAAGUGGAAUUCCAUGUGUAGCGGUGAAAUGCGCAGAGAUAUGGAGGAACACCAGUGGCGAAGGCGACUUUCUGGUCUGUAACUGACGCUGAUGUGCGAAAGCGUGGGGAUCAAACAGG
rnacentral:rRNA from 1 species